CUGCUCGAGAGGCUUCUUUCUCCACAAGAAAAUAAAACAGCCGUUGCUCUCUCUUCCACGGUCAAAAGGCACCAAUCUCCCGGCGCUUGUUUCAGUUCCUAUUUUCUUCUCCACUCUCUACUCUCUUCUUCAGGCAAUGCAACCGGCAGACGGAGAUUUUUUUCCUAAAUGAAAUCUUAUGGUUCUUCUCUCUUCUUCAGGCAAUGCAAUCCAGACGACGGAGAUUGUUUUCCUAGAUGAAAUCUUACGGUUCUCCUCUCUUCUUCAGGCAAUGCAAUCCAGACGACGGAGAUUGUUUUCCUAGAUGAAAUCUUACGGUUCUCCUCUCUUCUUCAGGCAAUGCAAUCCAGACGACGGAGAUUGUUUUCCUAGAUGAAAUCUUACGGUUCUCCUCUCUUCUUCAGGCAAUGCAAUCCAGACGACGGAGAUUGUUUUCCUAGAUGAAAUCUUACGUUUGCAGGUUCUCCUCUCUUCUUCAGGCAAUGCAAUCCAGACGACGGAGAUUGUUUUCCUAGAUGAAAUCUUACGGUUCUCCUCUCUUCUUCAGGCAAUGCAAUCCAGACGACGGAGAUUGUUUUCCUAGAUGAAAUCUUACGGUUCUCCUCUCUUCUUCAGGCAAUGCAAUCCAGACGACGGAGAUUGUUUUCCUAGAUGAAAUCUUACGUUUACAAGUUCUUCUCUCUUCACGCAAUGCAAUCUGGCGGACGGAGAGUGUUUUCCUAGAUGAAAUCUUACGGUAGAAGAAUAAACUUGGUUAGCUGAGGAGUAAAAGACAGGGUCUGGAAAAAGUGCCCAAUUUUUUCAUGCAGGUAGCUGAUGUAUUCUUGCUCUAGUGGCACUGAUGGCCUUUAUGAUUAGAUUUCAUCAAAAAGUUCGUUUUCUAAAGUAUGUGUGUAUUGAUCAGUUGGAGUGUUUCUUAAUUGAUGUCGGGCCAACUUUAAACAAAUAAAUUAUUUAUAAUGAUGUUAGAAUAUUCUUUUUCUUUGUCUUUUCUUCCACAGGUAUACUAUAUUAAUGAAUGGGGUGAGGGAAUUUGAACCAAUUAGUUCGAAGUUAAUAAUACAAAAUGUCAAACCCUAUGGUUGUUUUAUCAACCUAAAGAGAAAUCGCACUUAAAUGUUUGAUUAAA